rnacentral:rRNA from 1 species
UCGGACGGGGGUGAGUAACGCGUGAGAAUCUACCUAUAGGUUCGGGACAACAGUUAGAAAUGACUGCUAAUACCGGAUAUGCCUUCGGGUGAAAGUUUUAAUGCCUGUAGAUGAGCUUGCGUUCGAUUAGCUAGAUGGAGUGGUAAUGGCACACCAUGGCGACGAUCGAUAACUGGUCUGAGAGGAUGACCAGUCACACUGGGACUGAGACACGGACCAGACUCCUACGGGAGGCAGCAGUGGGGAAUUUUCCGCAAUGGGCGAAAGCCUGACGGAGCAAUACCGCGUGAGGGACGAAGGUCUGUGGAUUGUAAACCUCUUUUGUUAGGGAAGAUAAUGACGGUACCUAACGAAUAAGCAUCGGCUAACUCCGUGCCAGCAGCCGCGGUAAGACGGAGGAUGCAAGCGUUAUCCGGAAUUAUUGGGCGUAAAGCGUACGUAGGCUGUUUCAUAAGUCUGUUGUCAAAGCCCGAGGUCAACCUUGGAAAGGCAAUGGAAACUGUGAGGCUAGAGAGAGAUAGGGGCAGGAGGAAUUCCAGGUUAGCGGUGAAAUGCGUAGAUAUCUGGAAGAACACCAGUGGCGAAAGCGUCCUGCUGGAUCUCAACUGACGCUGAAGUACGAAAGCUAGGGGAGCGAAUGGGAUUAGAUACCCCAGUAGUCACGCGUUACUC